rnacentral:rRNA from 1 species
GACGAACGCUGGCGGCGUGCUUAACACAUGCAAGUCGAACGGAAAGGCCCUGCUUUUGUGGGGUGCUUGAGUGGCGAACGGGUGAGUAACACGUGAGUAAACUGCCCUUGACUUUGGGAUAACUUCAGGAAACUGGGGCUAAUACCGGCUAGGAGCUCCUGCUGCAUGGUCGGGGUUGGAUAGUUUCGGCGGAUGGGGAUGGACGCGCGGCUUAUCCGCUUGUUGGUGGGGUAGUGGCUUACCAAGGCUUUGGCGGGUAGCCGGCAUGAGAGGGUGACCGGACACAUUGGUACUGAAAUACGGCCCAGACUCCCACGGGAGGCAGCAGUGGGGAAUAUUGCACAAUGGGCGGAAGCCUGAUGCAGCAACGCCGCGUGCGGGAUGACGGACUUCGGGUUGUAGACCGCUUUCGCCUGUGACGAAGCGUGAGUGACGGUAAUGGGUAGAGAAGCACCGGCUAACUACGUG